rnacentral:lncRNA from 10 species
GUUUUAUUUAAGUUUAAUGCUAAUUCCAUGCUGUGUUUCAGUAAGAACAAUAAAGAUUCUGUAUCUGUGGUUCCAGUCAGAUAUCCAGGAGUACAAAUUAGCUUCAAGUUACACAUACUGAAUAAAAGAGAUUGAGCGAGCGAAGGAGGGGAGGAAUGAGGGGAAGGAGGAACCUAAAUUCUGAGACCAAAUGUAAAAGUCAGAUUUGGUGGUUCUCAGUGACAAUGGGGAGUUUCCAAGGGGUGGGAUGGGGAGGAGGGGGUGGUCAGAGAUGGUUUCUCUUGUUGGCUUAUGUCUCCCUGAUUUUUGUCUUCCACGUCCUGCAGCACUUCUUUAUUCUGCUCUUCACCAUCACCCUGCAUAUCUGAAGUCCAUAGUGUCAGAUUAUCACGUAACAACUGCAUGAUAAGUUUACAGUCCUUAUAGCUUUCUUCACUCAGCGUAUCCAGUUCUACAACUGCAUCAUUGAAAGCUGCUUUUGCCAACCUGCAAGCACGGUCAGGGGAAUUAAGAAUUUCGUAGUAGAAUAUGGAAAAAUUGAGAGCAAGACCUAAGCGAAUAGGAUGCGCUGGUGGAAGUUCUGUCAUUGCAAUAUCACUAGCAGCUUUAUAAGCCACUAUGCUGUUCUUCGCAGCCUCCUUCCUGUCAUUUCCUGUGGCAAAUUCUGCCAGAUACCUGUGGUAGUACCAUUUCGUUUUAUAAUAGAAAACCUUGGACUCGCCAGUGUUAGCUGCUGCAAUCAGAUGUUUGUCCAGUACAUCCAGAAUGUCACAACAGAUUAACUUUAGCUCAGUCUCAACCAUUUGCUGAUAUUCCCGAAUCAUUUCUAGCUUGUUUUCUCCUCCCUUGUUUUCUUCUUUCUGUUCAAUGCUGCUGAUUAUUCUCCAGGAGGUUCUUCUAGCUCCAAUCACAUUCUCAUAUGCAACAGAUAGGAGGUUUCUUUCUUCAUCUGUCAGCUCCACAUCCAUCCCUGCUACUUUCUUCAUUGACUCCACCAUUUCAUCGUAUCACUCAGCCUGCUCGGCCAGCUUCGCCUGGUACACCAGAUCCUCUCGAUCAUCCACAGCAGCAGUGGCUCCAGCAGGGUCUGCGUGACUGAUGGAAGUGGAUAGUGUCUC